UUAGGCACGACCCCGGAGAGGGAGCCUGAGAAACGGCUACCACAUCCAAGGAAGGCAGCAGGCGCGCAAAUUACCCAAUCCCGACACGGGGAGGUAGUGACAAUAAAUAACAAUACAGGGUUCUUUUGGAUCUUGUAAUUGGAAUGAGUACAAUUUAAAUCUCUUAACUAGGAACAAUUGGAGGGCAAGUCUGGCGCCCUCAGCCGCGGUAAUUCCAGCUCCAAUAGCGUAUAUUAAAGUUGUUGCAUUUAAAAAGCUCGUGCUUGAAUUUCGGGAUCAAUGUUUCGGUCAUGCCGUUGGUAUGUCCUGAUAUUAUGGUUUUCUCACCUUCAAAAGAACCGAAAUGCCAUUAAUUUGGUGUCCCGGGAAAUUAGGACUGUUACCUUGAAAAAAUUAGAGUGUUUAAAGCAGGCUCACAUUUGAAUACAUUACCUUGGAAUAAUGAAAUAGGACUUCCAAUUCUAUUUUGUUGGUUUCUAGGAUCAAUGUAAUGAUUAAUAGGGAUAUUGGGGGACAUUAAUUUUCUGUUGUCAGAGGAGAAAUUCUUGGAUUUAUUGAAUACUAACUGCUGCGAAAGUUUUUGCCAAGGAUGUUUUCAUUAAUCAAGAACAAAAGUUAGGGGAUCAAAGACAAUCAGAUACCGUCGCAGUCUUAACAAUAAACUAUGCCGACUAGGGAUCGGAUGAUGUUAAUUUUUAAUGACUCAUCGGCGCCGUACGGGAAACAAA
rnacentral:rRNA from 1 species